AAAGGAAUAGACGGGGACCCGCACAAGCAGCGGAGCAUGUGGUUUAAUUCGAAGCAACGCGAAGAACCUUACCAGGACUUGACAUAUACGUGAAUACGUUAGAGAUAGCGUAGUCUUUUCGGAGACACGUAUACAGGUGGUGCAUGGUUGUCGUCAGCUCGUGUCGUGAGAUGUUGGGUUAAGUCCCGCAACGAGCGCAACCCUUAUCAAUAGUUGCCAGCGGGUAAUGCCGGGAACUCUAGAGAGACUGCCGAUGAUAAAUCGGAGGAAGGUGGGGAUGACGUCAAAUCAUCAUGCCCUAUAUGUCCUGGGCUACACACGUGCUACAAUGGUCGGUACAGAGGGGAGCAAGAGAGUGAUCUGGAGCAAAUCUCAAAAAGCCGAUCCCAGUUCGGAUUGUAGGCUGCAACUCGCCUACAUGAAGUUGGAGUUGCUAGUAAUCGCGAAUCAGAAUGUCGCGGUGAAUGCGUUCCCGGGUCUUGUACACACCGCCCGU
rnacentral:rRNA from 1 species